rnacentral:lncRNA from 1 species
GUAGAGCCGGCCAAACGGGCGGUUUGGCUCGGCCCGAACCGGCCCGAACCGUUACGUAACCCGUAUUUUAACGUGCCGGGUACGAACCGGCACGAACCGGCACAAACCGUAAUUACCUGCGUGCCGGUAACGGUUCUCGUUUGUUAGAUUCGAAACCGCCAGGAACCGGCCCGUUAAAACCGUCAGAAACCGUCUGAAACCGUUGAACCGAUGAACCGCGUUGAACCGCUGAAACCGUUGAACCGCUGAAACCGUCUGGACCGUUGAACCGCUGAACCCGUCUAAACCCGUUGGAACCGCUUGAACCGAAACCGUCUAAACCCGUUGGAACCGUCUAAGCCCGUGAAGGCCGUUUAACCGGGAAAAAAACGAGCCGUUGCCAACGUUCACCUGCAACUUUCACCUGCAGGCUGCAACUCUGCAACAAGGCUGCUGUACUGCUGUCUCUGAGCUUACUGGCACGGGCAAACAAACGGCUACAAUGCCGUUGGNAAAACGAGCCGUUGCCUGUGUAUCCAACGUUCACCUGCAACUCUUUCACCUGCAGGCUGCAACUCUGCAACAAGGCUGCUGUAGUGCUGUGGAGUCCUCUGCUGCCUCUGAGCUUACUGGCACGGGCAAACAAACGGCUACAAUGCCGUUGGAGACACCGAAGGAGCCGUUGGAGGCUUCCUUAUAAAUACCGUCCCAGGCUCCCAGCUCAGUCACCUCACUGUCUUACUCCAUCUCAUUCUAAAUUCCACUCUCUCAAGCUUAUAAAUACUCUUACUUCAAGUCUGAAUNCAUCUCAUUCUAAAUUCCACUCUCUCAAGCUUAUAAACACUCUUACUUCAAGUCUGAAUUCAAGCAAGCUGCUCAAGUUUUUCCGGCCUCAAUUCAAGCUUUUCCGGCGUGGUUUUAAUAUUUUCAGUUAAUAUUUUCUGUUGUUAAUUAUGGAAGGUCGAGGUACAAUAUCCUCUCAAGAUUCCACUCAAAGUCCGA